UACGUAGGGGGCUAGCGUUGUCCGGAAUCAUUGGGCGUAAAGCGCGUGUAGGCGGCCCGGUAAGUCCGCUGUGAAAGUCGGGGGCUCAACCCUCGAAAGCCGGUGGAUACUGUCGGGCUCGAGUGCGGAAGAGGCGAGUGGAAUUCCUGGUGUAGCGGUGAAAUGCGCAGAUAUCAGGAGGAACACCGAUUGCGAAGGCAGCUCUCUGGGACGGUACUGACGCUGAGACGCGAAAGCGUGGGGAGCGAACAGG
rnacentral:rRNA from 1 species